rnacentral:rRNA from 1 species
UACGGGGGGAGCAAGCGCUGUUCGGAUUUACUGGGCGUAAAGGGCGCGUAGGCGGCGCAACAAGUCACUUGUGAAAUCUCCGGGCUUAACCCGGAGCGGCCAAGUGAUACUGUCGUGCUAGAGUGCGGAAGGGGCUACUGGAAUUCUCGGUGUAGCGGUGAAAUGCGUAGAUAUCAUUUGGAACGCCAAUGGUGAAAACAGGUAGCUGGGAGUGUGCUGACGCUGAGACACGAAAGCCAGGGGAGCGAACGGG